AGUGAACGCUGGCGGUAGGCCUAACACAUGCAAGUCGAACGGCAGCACAGUAAGAGUUCGCUCCUACGGGUGGCGAGUGGCGGACGGGUGAGGAAUACAUAGGAAUCCACUUUUACGGGGGGGAUAACGGAGGGAAACUUACGCUAAUACCGAAUAUUACCUACGGGUGAAAUCAGGAGUGCUUCGGACCUUGCGUGUUACAAUGAGCCGAUGUCGGAUUAGCUAGUUGGCGAGGUAAAGGCCCACCAAGGCGACGAUCCGUAGCUGAUCUGAGAGGAUGAUCCGCCACACUGGAACUGAGACACGGUCCAGACUCCUACGGGAGGCAGCAGUGGGGAAUAUUCGACAAUGGGCGCAAGCCUGAUCCAGCCAUGCCGCGUGGGUGAAGAAGGCCUUCGGAUUGUAAAGCCCUGUUAUUGGGGAAGAAAAUCUGCAGGUUAAUCCCCGGCUGUCUUGACGGUACCCAAACAAUAAGCACCGGCUAACUUCGUG
rnacentral:rRNA from 1 species